rfam:Tupaia chinensis contig229448, whole genome shotgun sequence.
UACACUUAUGUUUGCUUUUGUUUAUCUGGUGGACAAAUACUUAUAAACAGGUACAAAAAAUAAAUCCACUUUUUCAACCCAGAAGUCAUUGUUUGGUAUGAGUUUUGACACAUAUAAGAAGGAACCUU